rnacentral:rRNA from 1 species
AUUGAACGCUGGCGGCAGGCCUAACACAUGCAAGUCGAACGAGUGGCGGACGGGUGAGUAAUGUCUGGGAAACUGCCCGAUGGAGGGGGAUAACUACUGGAAACGGUAGCUAAUACCGCAUACCAUCGGAUGUGCCCAGAUGGGAUUAGCUAGUAGGUGGGGUAAUGGCUCACCUAGGCGACGAUCCCUAGCUGGUCUGAGAGGAUGACCAGCCACACUGGAAGUGAGACAGGGUCAAGACUCCAAGGGGAGGCAGCAGGGGGGAAUAUUGAACAAUGGGGGCAAGCCUGAUGAAGCCAUGCCGCGUGUAUGAAGAAGGCCUUCGGGUUGUAAAGUACUUUCAGCGAGGAGGCGUUACUCGAAGAAGAAGCACCGGCUAACUCCGUGCCAGCCGCCGCGGUAAAC